rnacentral:rRNA from 1 species
UACAGAGGUCUCAAGCGUUGUUCGGAUUCAUUGGGCGUAAAGGGCGCGUAGGCGGCCGAUCAAGUCGGGGGUGAAAGCCUGUGGCUCAACCACAGAAUUGCCUUCGAUACUGGUUGGCUUGAGACCGGAAGAGGUAAGUGGAACUGCGAGUGUAGAGGUGAAAUUCGUAGAUAUUCGCAAGAACACCAGUGGCGAAGGCGGCUUACUGGUCCGGUUCUGACGCUGAGGCGCGAAAGCGUGGGGAGCAAACAGG